GGGUCUAUGACUCAGUGGUAAAGUGCUUGCCUUGCAUGAGUGAUACCCUGGGUUCAAUCCCUAGUAUCCCCN
rnacentral:tRNA from 1 species